rnacentral:misc_RNA from 1 species
GGGAAGUAAGAAAGUGUUUGAGAAAGAGAAUUUUUAAGGAGGGAAACAAGAGAAUCAAUUGGAAUAUGAGGACGAGUGAAGAGACCACCCUUUUGAAUAUAGUGGCAAGAAAGCAUGGGGAGGUCAGAAACUGAAAGUUUGAGGUCUUCCAUGGUGGAUUUCUGGUCUGGGAAAACAGUGCAUUUGGAGACCAGAGUUAGAGACGGGGCAGAAGGCAUUUUUGUUCUUUC